rnacentral:rRNA from 1 species
GGCUAACUACGUGCCAGCAGCCGCGGUAAUACGUAGGGGGCAAGCGUUGUCCGGAAUUAUUGGGCGUAAAGGGCUCGCAGGCGGUUUCUUAAGUCUGAUGUGAAAGCCCCCGGCUCAACCGGGGAGGGUCAUUGGAAACUGGGGAACUUGAGUGCAGAAGAGGAGAGUGGAAUUCCACGUGUAGCGGGGAAAUGCGUAGAGAUGUGGAGGAACACCAGUGGCGAAGGCGACUCUCUGGUCUGUAACUGACGCUGAGGAGCGAAAGCGUGGGGAGCGAACAGGAUUAGAUACCCUGGUAGUCCACGCC